AUUAGAAGGGCCCCAGACUCCUCCAACAGACAAGCCACUUUUGCUAUGAAUUGUAAAUCUGUGUACUUUCUCUCGACUUUUGCAGGAGAGCUCAUUUGCAAGUGUCUCUUUGUUUUUAUGCAUCUGAGUGGGGAUGGAGAGACCUCAUAUCCUAAUAAGAUAAAAUCACCAGUGUGAUCAGUGUAAUGCAAUUUCAAAAACAGCAAAAGUGUGAUCCUUCCCAGAGUUCCUUAUAAUGGAAUUUGUUCAAAGAAGAUGGAUUUUAUGGUUAAUUUCUUCGAGGUACUUACAGAAUCAUUGAGAGGAAUCAAUGAGGGUGUUCCAUGAGGAUAGUAAUUCUCUUCUACCAGCUGAAGCCAUACUAACAAGUACAGUACACCUACGAUCUGCCCCACAUCUCCCUUGAGUCAGCCUUGUGAACAAGCAGAUCAGGUCACUGAGAGUUGUGACUUGCCAGGGAUCAUACAGCAGUGUAUUUCUAAGGUCAUUCAUAACCAACAACAGCAGAUACUAUUGGUAAUCAAGUCCUGUUUGAAAUGGACUUAGUAGGUGGAUCAGGG